CACAGAGUAGCCUCCAAGAGACAUUGGGCUCCCCAAGAAUCAAUGUGCAAAUCGAACAAAUCACAUUUCGGAAACUACACAAGUGUAGGGCCAAAUAUGCUUUUUUAGAAACUCUGUGGCAGGGCCCCAAUCAACUUGAAACCCCAACACAGGCAUUUACUAGUUUUUGCUGCCACCUGUUGGUUGUUGUUUAAAAUAACAGCAUUUCAAGCUUUUAUCCUAGGCCUAUGCCAUUCUGAAGCUCUGGGCUGAGAAAAUUAUGUUAGAGAGUGGUAGGGAUGGUGCUCUUUGGAUGAAAGGGUCCUAGCCCAAAAAAGAAAGGCACUAUUCGACAAGCCUUCAUUAUUCACACACAUAUAUAUAUAUAUUUAUUCCCGAGACAGUGUAAAAAUGCAAUAAACAUUCUGUUGUAUGUGUGGCAAGGUUGCCUUUACAAAGGCAGCCCAAUUGCUGACCUUUUUCCCCCACAAAUUGGUAUUUUGACCAAUCAGAUCAGCUUUGAAAAAGAUCUAACGUGAAAAGAUAAAUUAGUGGAAAGGAAUAUCAGCAUUUGUCUACCUGUGUAAAUGCAGCCUCACAGAUACAGUCCUAAUGUGUGGGAUAUGUAGGCAAUAGGAUAUGUGAAGAGGUUGAACAAUGGCUGAAACAACAUUCUGUAGUUGUACAACUACAAUGAAACAAUCGAUUUGUAUUCAAGCUUUCACUGUUCCAUAAUUUCACAUCCAGUACAACACUGGUUUAUAGAAUACCUAUCACUUUUAUCACCAGCUCCCACCCUGUCGAAAGACAUAAGAGCCUACCUACCAUGUUAUACUUCACACUGCUCAAGACGAGGCUUAAUUUGCUGGCUGCCUUAUCAUAUAUUACUUGCCAUUGGUCUGGAAUGAUGUCAUCCACUGUACAGACCACAGACCCCACCUCCUUACACCCCNNNNNNNNNNCUGGAGAUGCCUGUUCUCGCUAUUGCCUCAGAGUACUACACACCCCAGGAGAUGGUGGGCUUUAAGAAGACCAAGCAGCGCGUCAGGAAGAUCAGGAAGAAGGAGAAGGCAUUGCCUGAUGAGCUCCAAUUAGACGACACACGCAACACCGACUUUGGCUCCAGGUUCUGCUCCCAUCAGCUUCAAUAUGAAUGACAGAGUAGCCUUUUUUUUUUUUUUUNNNNNNNNNNCCCCCCCCCCCCCCCCCCCCCCCCCCCCCCCCCCCCCCCAUUUCCUCCAGCAACCUCUGUCUUCCUCUCACGCAUAAAUCCGAGCGCACAUUUACUCACGCACAAGCACUGACACUGGUAUGGUGUAAGCACUUUUUCUAUGUUUUUUUUAUUUUAAUUAUUAAUAAUAGAUGGUUAGUGUCGAUGGUCCUAUAUUUUUCUAUGUAAGCUUAUACCUGCACCGCACACGGAUCCGAAAAUAUGAUAGGUCCUGCAGUGCAAACAAAUGUCUGGACAACAACAAUGAAAACGUAAGGAAUUGUAUUACACGGAGAGCAUGAAGAUAAAACGGAAUUGUCACUCCUAACGUAAGUAAGUUUAUUUUAAACACUUUAGCCAGCUUAGCUUGACGAACAAUAUGUCAUGUCUGAUAUUAAAUCACUGAUUAUUAUAGGCUAUUGUUGCCACAUGAUGAUCCAGCACUAUGGCUAUGUGUUACACAUUUAUAUGCAUAUAAGAAACGCUAGUGCGUUAAAAUGCCAUCCAAAUUAGAACAGUGACGUCCUCGAACUAGGAUCCCCUUCACUGAUACAUCGGACACUUACCAUUUUUUACGCGACACUACGAAUCAAGAGUGAUUAAAUUCACCUUCAUUACUUAUUAACCGCCUGGCAGUCUUUGCCUAAAUAUCUGCAGUCUUUGCGAAAAUACUUUCUAUUAUUGAUCAGGACCAAACAUGAGAGUGAAAGUGAUACGAGACGAUGACGAUUCCUUUUCCAUGGCCUAAUUUGGACUACCAAACCGGGCUAUGAUGCUGGAGUUGCAGGUCAUGCAGACUAAGCUAUAAGGCCAUAGCCAUUAUUUAUUGCACAUUAUUAUUUACCUAAUUCUUUGUUGUUGCAUGGUUUUUAAUGAAUUAUUUACAUGAUAUGCGUUUUCUAUAUUACAAUUUAUUAUUAUCUUGGUUAUUUUUAUAUAGCCCAGGCCUAAUAAUUCUAGCAUAGCCUAUAUGCGAUCAAAGUGCAACCGUAAAACGCCACUCAUGGAGAUGAGAAGAGACUGCUUCUUAUUUCCUGCCAGUGACACACAGAGACCGAGACGGGACCCUGAGCAUAAUGAUGUCUGACGAUGCGCGAAAUAAUUUCACUCUUGUAUGAUUCCACCUUAUUUAUGGGAUUCCUCUGUUAUCAGCAGUCAAUUCAUUAGUGUUAUUUCAACCAUGCCUGUUGUUAUUAUUAUCCUCUUCUCUUGCAGGCGCAGCAGGCCUUUAUUUGUCCACAGAAAACCGGGAUAAAUACUAUUGCAGGUAGGUCUGUUUGUGAACGUGUAGAGACAUGAAUAAAGGUCACUGAAGGCUUCAAAUAGAACCUUACAAUUUCAGAUAAUUUCAGCAGUAGAUUGAUAAUAAGACCCCAAAGAUACAUACAGUGCCUUGUGAAUCUCACAUGGUCCUCUACUUCAGAGUCAGAGUAAUCAUCAGGUUACCUCUUUCACCUUUGUGACAUGAGGGGACAGAAUUUCAACAGUUUCAACAUUUUUUUAGCCACUCUUUCAAUCAUUAUAACAAUAAUCACAUAAUGGUAUAAUGGAUGGACUUCUUUUGCACAUCAUAAUAUUUUAAUGUAAGCCUAAGUUCUAAUAUUUCUUUGCCCUUUAUCAAGCCUCCAAAUUCAGAACCUCUUUUCCAAAAUGUAUGAAGACCUACUGGCUGCAAUUUUAGAUAUGGUGACAAUAAUGUUCAGAAUGGGGCUGAUGAACAAUGAUGAUAAUGAUCUCGAGGCAUAGCUUCAAGCAUUUUCUUAAGUAUGUUUUUUAGGUUUGCAAUGUGUGUUUUUGGUCUGACUGUGCUUAGAUAGUAUGAUUAAUACACCGCUACACUGUUUUCAUGUACAGUGGGGUCUGAAAUUAUUAUACAAUAAACAAUUUAAAUACUGAGCUAUAUUGUAUGCUAAAGAAAUUGGUAUAUUAUAUUAUUUUCUACUAAUACAGUUGCUCAGAGAAAGAGAUUUAGUUUUACAAGUUAUUAAAAAAAAUCUCAAAACUCUGGGGGUCAAAAUGAUUGACACCCCUGUCUGUUAUCAAUACCUUUUAAUACAUCACCUUGCAAGGAUAACGACAUUGAUACCUUUUAGAAAAUGUGUUGGAGAACACAUUUGAAGGGAUUUUAGACCAUUCCUCCAUACAGAAUCCAUCCAGAUCCUUGAUAUCCUUCUUCAUCUGCGCUUAUGGACUGCCCUCUUUCAUUCUAACCACAGGUUUUCAAUGGUUUUCAUGUUCAGAGUCUGAAAUGGCUAAUGCAAAAUGUUGAUUUUGUGGUCAAUUAACAAUUUCUUUGUGGAUUUUGAUGUGUGCUUGGGGUUAUUGUCUUUCUGGAAGAUCCACUUGUGGCCAAGUUUCAGCCUCCUGGCAGAGGCAACAAGGUUUUAGGGAAAAAUAUUCUGGUAUUGGGUAAAGUUCAUUUGACUUUAUCAAGGGCCCCAGGACCAGUGAAAGCAAAAUAGCCACAUAACAUCAAAGAUCCACCACUAUAUUUUACAAUAUGUAUGGGGUUAUUUUCUGCUCAUCCAUUCUGAUUUCAACACCAAACCCACCACUGGUGUGUGCAUGGCCAAAGCGCUAUAUUUUAAUGUGAUCUGACCAAAGCAUCAGUGCCAAUGCUGUUUGGCAAACUCCAGGGGCCUCAUUCAUCAAAGGUGCGUGCGCACAACAAAAGCACUCUAAACCUCGCAUGCACCAGUUUUCCCGCAAAGGUUGGUGUUUAUCCAUUUCGAACUUGACGGGAAGGUGUGCGUAUUUCACAAAUGUUUAACUAUGCAUGCGCACAACUUCUAGAGGGUUGAUCCACUGUAUUGCAAGCAAAUAUGCUUAUUGUUUAUUUGGGGAAAUGGGAGGUGUUUGAUGCUUUUAUUUAUUAUAAGCCUAAAUCAUAAUCAUAUUACAGGACCCCACUGGGAACCGGUGUCAGUUCAACUCAAUUGGUUGAGUUGUCAACUAACGUGAAUUCAACAUGAAAUCAACUAAACAUUUUACCAUAUCAAUGGAUUUAAGUUAAAAGUUUGGUGAAAAAAAUACGAAAUUCCCUUACGUUGAUGACUUUUUGCAAACCCAAUCAGUUUUCCACAUUGAGUCAACGUCAUCUCAUUGAAUUGACAUUGAAAUGACGUGGAAACAACAUUGAUUUAACCAGUUUUUGAACAGUGGGACAUGUCUCUCCUUUUCUGACAGAACUGGUUUAAAUUAUUCAUGCUACACAACAAAUUGUAGGCUACCAUUUAUCAAUCGCUCAUUCAAUUGCCAAGCAUGCUCGAAAUGAAGUAGCUUUGACUGUAUGUGACAGUAUGGGUAGGCUACAUUAUUGCUGUGCGAUAGAGCGCAACAUCAUAGGCUAGCCUAUUUCAUUUCAGAGCCUAUACCAAGGAAGGAGAUAGAAGCAAAAUCAUGUAUUGAUAAACAAAAUAUUUAACAUCAGUUUGUCUUUUGCAUAGAAGUGUGGGCUGUAGCAUUUACUUUUAAUUUGUUCGAAAGGACAAGCAAUCUUUCACAAUGUACAACCAGUGUUUGUCACUCAUUAGGCAGCAUGCAUUUUUAGUUUGGAAAAGUCACUGCAGAGUUCGGCCCACACAUCUACAGAAAUGUAAUAAAAUGUUCCAUUGCGCUUUCUUUUAGGAGCUGUCAUGGCCCAGUUCCAACAUCUCCAAGCCAUACAGCAAAUGAGGGUGUUUUUGUUCCCAUAACAUAUUCAUUGAGGGUGUUUUCAAGGUGGGGUUUUAGCACAAAUAUAAUAUGGCUCUGAUUUAUCAAUGAAAACAUGUUCCAUCCACAUUUUGAUAAAUCUCAAUCAUUUGUGGUGCCACGUACACCAGAAUU
rnacentral:lncRNA from 13 species